rnacentral:rRNA from 1 species
UUACGGCCACACCACGUUGAAUUACUGGUUCGCAUACGAUCACCGAAGUUAAGCAACGUCGAACCUGGUCAAUAUCUAUAUGGGUGAGCAUAUGGGAAUACCAGGGGCUGUCA